rnacentral:rRNA from 1 species
AGAUUGAACGCUGGCGGCAGGCCUAACACAUGCAAGUCGAGCGGUAGAGAGGUGCUUGCAUCUCUUGAGAGCGGCGGACGGGUGAGUAAUGCCUAGGAAUCUGCCUAGGUGGUGGGGGAUAACGUUCGGAAACGGACGCUAAUACCGCAUACGGUCCUACGGGGAGAAAGCGGGGGACCUUCGGGCCUCGCGCCAUUAGAUGAGCCUAGGUCGGAUUAGCUAGUUGGUGAGGUAAUGGCUCACCAAGGCGACGAUCCGUAACUGGUCUGAGAGGAUGAUCAGUCACACUGGAACUGAGACACGGUCCAGACUCCUACGGGAGGCAGCAGUGGGGAAUAUUGGACAAUGGGCGAAAGCCUAGAUCCAGCCAUGCCGCGUGUGUGAAGAAGGUCUUCGGAUUGUAAAGCUACUUUAAGUUGGAGAAGGCAGUUACCUAAUACGUAUCGUAGUUUUGACGUUUACCGACUAGAAUAAGCACCGGCUAACGUCUAGUCGCCUAGCAA